rnacentral:rRNA from 1 species
CCUACGGGUGGCGGCAGUGGGGGAUAUUGCACAAUGGGGGAAACCCUGAUGCAGCGACGCCGCGUGGGGGAAGACGGUCCACUGGAGUGUAAACCACUGUCCCCAGGGACGAAGAUGACGGGACCUGGGGAGGAAGCGCCGGCUAACUACGUGCCAGCAGCCGCGGUAAUACGUAGGGAGCGAGCGUUGUCCGGAAUUACUGGGUGUAAAGGGAGCGUAGGCGGGACGGCAAGUUGGGUGUCAAAUCUACCGGCUCAACCGGUAGCCGCACUCAAAACUGCAGUUCUUGAGUGAAGUAGAGGCCGGCGGCCUUCCUCGUGUCGCGGUGCAAUGCGUCGCUCUUAGGCUGCCCACCCGUGGCUCCUGCGGCCUGCUGGGCUUUUACUGCCGCUGCUGCUCUCACGUGUGGGGCUCCAACCUGCUUCUCUCCCCCUGGUAGUC